AUAAAUCUUCAAGGACUGAGGAGGAAGGAGCUAACCUUUAAUGAAAUAAUGAUCAUGAAGAGGUAUAGGAGUCCCAGUGUUGUGAGUUAUUUAGACAGCUACCUUCUGGGCAAGGAACUCUUGCUGCUUAUGGAGUACAUGGAUGGAGGCAUCCUGAGCGAUGUCAUCAGCCAGACCUGCCUGUCUGAAGAUGAGAUGGCAGCCAUCAGUUGGGAGUGCCUGCAAGGACUGGAUUUUCUUCAUUCAAACGAUGUGAUCCGUCGAGAGUGAAGAGCAGCAACAUCCUUCUCAGAACUGACGGUUCUGUCAAGCUGGCUGAUUUUGGCCUCUCUACUCAGCUCAACUCUGAGCAGAGCAGAUGGUGCUCACUAACCGGGACUCCUUGGUGGAUGGCGCCUGAAGUGGUGACAGCAUCUGCUCUAGUUUUGGUUGCAUCAGCUCAACACCUGAUAGCCACAGUGGGGACCCCAAAGCUGCAGCAGCCCAAGCUCCUCUCAGCUUUGCUGCGUGACUUCCUGAGCUGCUGCCUGCAGAGAGAUGAAGAGCGGCGCUGGUCUGCUAAGGAGCUCCUGCAGGUAAAAUGUGAAGGGGCUGCAGGUGAAACAGGGUCUGAA